AUUGAACGCUGGCGGCAUGCCUUACACAUGCAAGUCGAACGGUAACAGGUUAAGCUGACGAGUGGCUAACGGGUGAGUAAUGUAUCGGAACGUGCCCAGUCGUGGGGGAUAACUGCUCGAAAGAGCAGCUAAUACCGCAUACGACCUGAGGGUGAAAGCGGGGGAUCGCAAGACCUCGCGCGGUUGGAGCGGCCGAUAUCAGAUUAGGGAGUUGGUGGGGUAAAGGCCCACCAAGCCGACGAUCGGUAGCUGGUCUGAGAGGACGACCAGCCACACUGGGACUGAGAUACGGCCCAGACUCCUACGGGGGGCAGCAGUGGGGAAUAUUGCACAAUGGGCGGAAGCAUGAUGCAGCGACGCCGCGUGAGGGAUGACGGCCUGCGGGUUGGAAAACUCUUUCAGCAGGGACGAAGCGUAAGUGACGGUACCUGCAGAAGAAGCACCGGCUAACUAUGUG
rnacentral:rRNA from 1 species